rnacentral:rRNA from 1 species
UGGCUCAGGACGAACGCUGGCGGCGUGCUUAACACAUGCAAGUCGAACGCUGAAGCACUUCGGGUGUGGAUGAGUGGCGAACGGGUGAGUAACACGUGGGUAAUCUGCCCUGCACUCUGGGAUAAGCCUUGGAAACGGGGUCUAAUACCGGAUAGGACACAUGGCCGCAUGGUCUGUGUGUGGAAAGUUCCGGCGGUGCAGGAUGAACCCGCGGCCUAUCAGCUUGUUGGUGGGGUAGUGGCCUACCAAGGCGACGACGGGUAGCCGGCCUGAGAGGGUGACCGGCCACACUGGGACUGAGACACGGCCCAGACUCCUACGGGAGGCAGCAGUGGGGAAUCUUGCGCAAUGGGCGAAAGCCUGACGCAGCAACGCCGCGUGGGGGAUGACGGCCUUCGGGUUGUAAACCUCUUUCGACAGGGACGAAGGGUGACUGACGGUACCUGUAGAAGAAGCACCGGCUAACUACGUGCCAGCAGCCGCGGUAAUACGUAGGGUGCGAGCGUUGUCCGGAUUUAUUGGGCGUAAAGAGCUCGUAGGCGGUUUGUCGCGUCGGCCGUGAAAACCUACAGCUUAACUGUGGGCGUGCGGUCGAUACGGGCAGACUUGAGUUCGGCAGGGGAGACUGGAAUUCCUGGUGUAGCGGUGAAAUGCGCAGAUAUCAGGAGGAACACCGGUGGCGAAGGCGGGUCUCUGGGCCGAUACUGACGCUGAGGAGCGAAAGCGUGGGGAGCGAACAGGAUUAGAUACCCUGGUAGUCCACGCCGUAAACGUUGGGCGCUAGGUGUGGGGACUGGUUCCACGGUUUCCGUGCCGUGCUAACGCAUUAAGCGCCCCGC